UCGAUAUGCGUGCAACUCGGAAUGCGUGGAAAUUCGAUUGUGAGUUGAAUUUUGGGGGUAAAGAAUCGCGUCGAGUUAAAUGUCCUUGUCGAUCGAAAUGGAUAAAAUUGGCUCGUCGCGAUUCUUUACCCCCAAAAUUCAACUCACAAUCGAAUUUUCACGCAUUCCGAGUUGCAAGCACCCCGA
rnacentral:pre_miRNA from 1 species